rnacentral:rRNA from 1 species
CCUACGGGUGGCAGCAGUGGGGAAUAUUGCACAAUGGGGGAAACCCUGAUGCAGCGACGCCGCGUGAGUGAAGAAGUAUUUCGGUAUGUAAAGCUCUAUCAGCAGGGAAGAAGAAAGACGGUACCUGACUAAGAAGCCCCGGCUAACUACGUGCCAGCAGCCGCGGUAAUACGUAGGGGGCAAGCGUUAUCCGGAUUUACUGGGUGUAAAGGGAGCGUAGACGGCUGUGCAAGUCUGAAGGGAAAGCCCAGGGCUCAACCCUGGGACUGCUUUGGAAACUGUGGAGCUGGAGUGCUGGAGAGGUAAGUGGAAUUCCUAGUGUAGCGGUGAGAUGCGUAGAUAUUAGGAGGAACACCAGUGGCGAAGGCGGCUUACUGGACAGUAACUGACGUUGAGGCUCGAAAGCGUGGGGAGCAAACAGGAUUAGAUACCCGAGUAGUC